rnacentral:rRNA from 1 species
AGAUUGAACGCUGGCGGCAUGCCUUACACAUGCAAGUCGAACGGCAGCACGGGAGCAAUCCUGGUGGCGAGUGGCGAACGGGUGAGUAAUAUAUCGGAACGUGCCCAGUCGUGGGGGAUAACGUAGAGAAAUUUACGCUAAUACCGCAUACGAUCCAAGGAUGAAAGCGGGGGACCUAAGGCCUCGCGCGACUGGAGCGGCUGAUAUCAGAUUAGCUUGUUGGUGAGGUAAAAGCUCACCAAGGCGACGAUCUGUAGCUGGUUUGAGAGAACGACCAGCCACACUGGGACUGAGACACGGCCAGACUCCUACGGGAGCAGCAGUGGGGAAUAUU